rnacentral:rRNA from 1 species
UCCUUAAAUAGGGACUUGCAUGAAUGGCUUGACGAGGGUUUAACUGUCUCUUAUUCUCAAUCAGUGAAAUUGACCUUCCCGUGAAGAGGCGGGAAUAAACUAAUAAGACGAGAAGACCCUAUGGAGCUUAAAUUUUAUAGUCUAGCAUAAAAAUAAUUAUACCCAUGGGACUACAAACUUAUUGCCUACAGACUACAAAUUUUGGUUGGGGUGACCUCGGAGCACAAAACAACCUCCGAAUGAUUCUAAUCUAGACUACACCCGUCUAAAUUAAUAUUCAUAAAUUGACCCAAAAUCUUGAUCAACGGAACAAGUUACCCUAGGGAUAACAGCGCAAUCCUACUCAAGAGUUCAUAUCGACAGUUAGGGUUUACGACCUCGAUGUUGGAUCAGGACAUCCAAAUGGU